rnacentral:rRNA from 1 species
UCGAACGGGGGGCAACCCCAGUGGCGAACUGGUCAGUACAAGUUGGGUAACCUGCCUGGAAGUGGGGGACAACGUCUCGAAAGGGACGCUAAUACCGCAUGUGGUUCCGGGGGCUUCGGCUCCUGUGACUAAAGCAGCAGUGCGCUUCCGGAUGGGCCCGACUCCCAUUAGCUUGUUGGUGAGGUAACGGCUCACCAAGGCUACGAUGGGUAGGUGGUCUGAGAGGAUGGUCACCGACACGAGGACUGAGAUACGGCCUCGACUCCUACGGGGGGCAGCAGUCUAGAAGCUUCGACAAUGGGGGAAACCCUGAUCGAGCGACGCCGCGUGCAGGAUGAAGGUCCUUGGAUUGUAAACUGCUUUCGGCCGGAAGGAAGGCCCUGAUGGUGAAUCAGGGAUUGACCUACUGGCGGAAGAAGCCCCGGCUAACCUCGUGCCAGCAGCCGCGGUAAUACGAGGGGGGCAAGCGUUAUUCGGAUUUACUGGGCGUAAAGAGCGCGUAGGUGGCUUGGCAAGUCUGGUGUGAAAACGCUACCGCUUAACGGAGCGAUUGCGCUGGAAACUGCCAAACUUGAGUCCGCGAGAGGUCGGUAGAACUCCUGGUGUAGCGGUGGAAUGCUCAGAUAUCAGGAAGAAUACCUGAGGCGAAGGCGACCGACUGGCGUGGUACUGACACUGAGGCGCGAAAGCGUGGGGAGCA